rnacentral:rRNA from 1 species
AGUCGAGCGGACAGAAGGGAGCUUGCUCCCGGAUGUUAGCGGCGGACGGGUGAGUAACACGUGGGUAACCUGCCUGUAAGACUGGGAUAACUCCGGGAAACCGGAGCUAAUACCGGAUAGUUCCUUGAACCGCAUGGUUCAAGGAUGAAAGACGGUUUCGGCUGUCACUUACAGAUGGACCCGCGGCGCAUUAGCUAGUUGGUGAGGUAACGGCUCACCAAGGCGACGAUGCGUAGCCGACCUGAGAGGGUGAUCGGCCACACUGGGACUGAGACACGGCCCAGACUCCUACGGGAGGCAGCAGUAGGGAAUCUUCCGCAAUGGACGAAAGUCUGACGGAGCAACGCCGCGUGAGUGAUGAAGGUUUUCGGAUCGUAAAGCUCUGUUGUUAGGGAAGAACAAGUGCAAGAGUAACUGCUUGCACCUUGACGGUACCUAACCAGAAAGCCACGGCUAACUACGUGCCAGCAGCCGCGGUAAUACGUAGGUGGCAAGCGUUGUCCGGAAUUAUUGGGCGUAAAGGGCUCGCAGGCGGUUUCUUAAGUCUGAUGUGAAAGCCCCCGGCUCAACCGGGGAGGGUCAUUGGAAACUGGGAAACUUGAGUGCAGAAGAGGAGAGUGGAAUUCCACGUGUAGCGGUGAAAUGCGUAGAGAUGUGGAGGAACACCAGUGGCGAAGGCGACUCUCUGGUCUGUAACUGACGCUGAGGAGCGAAAGCGUGGGGAGCGAACAGGAUUAGAUACCCUGGUAGUCCACGCCGUAAACGAUGAGUGCUAAGUGUUAGGGGGUUUCCGCCCCUUAGUGCUGCAGCUAACGCAUUAAGCACUCCGCCUGGGGAGUACGGUCGCAAGACUGAAACUCAAAGGAAUUGACGGGGGCCCGCACAAGCGGUGGAGCAUGUGGUUUAAUUCGAAGCAACGCGAAGAACCUUACCAGGUCUUGACAUCCUCUGACAACCCUAGAGAUAGGGCUUUCCCUUCGGGGACAGAGUGACAGGUGGUGCAUGGUUGUCGUCAGCUCGUGUCGUGAGAUGUUGGGUUAAGUCCCGCAACGAGCGCAACCCUUGAUCUUAGUUGCCAGCAUUCAGUUGGGCACUCUAAGGUGACUGCCGGUGACAAACCGGAGGAAGGUGGAG